UACGAAGGGGGCUAGCGUUGCUCGGAAUCACUGGGCGUAAAGCGCACGUAGGCGGCUUUCUAAGUCAGGGGUGAAAUCCUGGAGCUCAACUCCAGAACUGCCUUUGAUACUGGGAAGCUCGAGUCCGGAAGAGGUGAGUGGAACUCCGAGUGUAGAGGUGAAAUUCGUAGAUAUUCGGAAGAACACCAGUGGCGAAGGCGGCUCACUGGCCCGGUACUGACGCUGAGGUGCGAAAGCGUGGGGAGCAAACAGG
rnacentral:rRNA from 1 species